AAAAACAUAAAUUUUCUCAACACUUGGCCUAUACCCGAGUUUCUUUCUCAACCCUAACCACACAGGACAGCCGCGACCUCCUUUCAUCACCCUCAUCCUCUGCCUCUGCUCCUAUCCUCCUUCUCCGGCUCUGACGCCGGAGCUCCGCGGAAAUCCACACUCCCGAUCCAGCUUCUCUCUCUCCUUGGAACUUCCAACCCGUCUCGGCGUGAGGCAUCUCUGCCUCUUCAGUCUUUCAAGCCCCACCCAGCCCCCACCGCCGAGCUCCUUGCCCAGCACUCUGCAACUAGCAAACCCGGCCGUGUCCCGGUCUCCGAUCUCCACCUCCAGCCCUCCAGACUCCAGACUCCAGCUUCUCUCCUUUCAACUCUGCAACUAGCAAACCCGUCUCCGGUCUCCGAUCUCCGCCUCCAGCCCUCCAGCCUUCAGGUGGGAAAAUCCAUUGACGUUGGACAUCCACAGGUGAUCGCUAUGCUAAUGUGGGUGAGGCAGGACUGACUUUCAAAAGUGAAGAAGCUGCAGUUUUAUAUCCUAAUAAUUUUCAUUCCAGUUUUGUUGUGAGAUGAUGUAUAACAGAGUUUUACAUCAAUCUACAAUCUUUGUUGGAUUUUGAAUAGUUAUUGUGGAUUACAUUGCUAAGGAUUCGAUUUUAACUGCUGUGCAGGUCAGGAAGCAUCAAACACCACUUCUAAGGGUACAAAAUUUUUCUUGUUCACUACUUGGACAUUUGAAGAUGGAAAUGUGGAUUUUCCUCUAAACCUUAUGCAGGCGAUAUUUGUAUGAUUUGUGCUUUGUUAUACAAGCUUGGGUCUAUGCUGAUGUAGCCAACGCUGAUGCUCGAGCCCACAGGUCGAAUUGGUUAAGGUGCUAUGACAUUGGGGGUGGUAGGAGUAGGAGUAGGGGAUGGAGUUCCUUGUCGUUGCUUCAGCAGGUCUUUCUCCUCUGGAAUUUUAGCUCCUCUCUCAAUCAUAAUGUCAAUGUUAGGUUAGAAUUAUGAAACUGAUGGAUUGUAUUUUGGAUGAUAUUGAUGCAAUGAAAUAUUUGGCUUAAUAUUGAUGGCUGAUUUAAGUCUAA